UACGGAGGGUGCGAGCGUUGUCCGGAAUCACUGGGCGUAAAGGGCGCGUAGGCGGCCUGAUAAGUAGGGGGUGAAAUCCUGCGGCUUAACCGCAGGGCUGCCUUCUAAACUGUCAGGCUAGAGCACAGUAGAGGCAGGUGGAAUUCCCGGUGUAGCGGUGGAAUGCGUAGAGAUCGGGAAGAACAUCAGUGGCGAAGGCGGCGACCUGGACAGUUACUGACACUCAACUGCGAAAGCGUGGGGAGCAAACAGG
rnacentral:rRNA from 1 species